rnacentral:lncRNA from 1 species
CCCGGCCCGGUAUAUCUGCUAUCACGGGCCUGACGAGGGCCUUGUUGUGGGCUACCUAUAUCGUCCUCGCCUCGCCGUCUUCCUCGAGAAUCGAGCAAGUUCGUCCUCGAGCAAGGUCGCCGCCGUACACAUCGAUCACUGAGCGCCAGCUGACGGGUCGUCCGUGGAGAAUCGGCCGAGCAACAGCCACUGCAAGGUGCUGAUUCACUUCAAUUCUUGAAUUUUUAGUGCUCCUGGGAGAUUUGCCUUAGGGAUCUACUUGUGAUGUUUCAGUGGUUCACCAACCUAUAAGAUAUGUUCUUGCCAGAGACAAUUCGGUAGUAGUACUAGUACAUAAUCUAUUUCAUUUAGGCAUAUAUUGUUAUCGCCAUUUUGAUUCUGUAUGCUAUGGCUAAGGCUAAGGGGAUUGGAUAUUAUCUAUUCAUAACGAGUUAGACUGAAAUUGGCGCAUGAACAUCACUCAUCCACUUGAUUUUAGACCGAAAUGGCGUAUUUGAUUUUUGUGUGCUUUGUUAUAGGUAGGUGCUCUCACUUCUCACCGCUGCUGGAAACUAGUAAUAAUUUACUUACUUUCUUUCAUGGCUUCAUUGCAUUUUGCAGCAGCCAGAAACUUCAUCAGCUGCAGUGGAGGAGAGACCUGAUCCUGCAAUCCCGGGUGAUGAGCAGUUUGGUGAUGGAUGCAAAGGCCCAGACUGAUCACAAGGUGAUAAAGAUCUCCUGCUGUGUGUGGGUGCAUAUGUUGAAAUUGCCGUGAUGUCAAUCUGAAAUGAAAAAUAAAUUUACUAAAUAGAUGAAUUAUGUGUGUUACUGAAAAUUCAACUGUGCCUCUGCUCUUUACUUCAUUUUUGGAGUGGUAGGAACUAUCUAUUAUUAUGGAUCGGAGGGAGUAGUACUUAUCAACAGCACAAACAGCAACUGACGACUGUAAUCAACGGGGCACUUUUAAGUUUUUCAGAAAACUAAAAAGAAAGAAAUACAAUAAAGAACACCAACAAGGAUGAUAGAGAAGCUCAUAUUAUUGUUCCAUGCUCACAAAAACAGAGUUAUUGUUCCAAUACAAAUGGGCAGCAUAGAUAUUACAUUACAUUCGAGGCAUAGAAAUCAAUAGCAGAUUAUAGAUAGAUAGAGUAACUCAUAUGGUGUUCCUUGCUCACAAAAAAACAGUCAUUAUUCCAAUAGAACUGGGUAGCAUAGAUACUGCAUUACAUCCGAGGCAUAUCAAUCAACAUAUAGGUGGUCAUCACGAGUUGAAGCUUUUCUCCUUAUGCUUCUGAAAUAGCUCGAUGUGAUCGAUGACGAGGCGGAUAAC